AUUGGUUGUUUGAUAUCUGAUGAUGAUUCUGGUUAAUUAUAGUGUUGUGGGGUGAUGAUUGAGGUUGAUGAUGUUGGUUAUGAUAUUGAUGACAAGAUUUGUGAUGAUUGAUAUUGAUGAUGUUGGUUAUGAUUUUCUUGCUUGUUCGAAUUGUUUUUAAUGUUUUCUAUUUUUGUGUGUGUGGAGUCCUAUCCUACUCUAUGUUCUGCAUUUUUUUUUCUUUUGACUAUGUAGAUUUCUUCUUUUAUAAAAGGGUAUUUAAUUGUGGUUAUCUGUUACUUGCAGUUGCAUUUUUCUUCUACUAUAUCGAAUAAGAUUACAAAAACUGUUUCCAUUCAUGUAGAAUGAAGUCACUUGGCUCUUGCUAAGUGUAUAGUUUGCCUAUUGAUGCAUAGAUAGUUAUCAUGUUAUCCCCUUUUACUUGUUUUCUUUGUUAUUUCUCCUUGCUUUGUGGUUGCCAGGAGGUCCAUGUGUUCUCUUCAACUAGCUCUUUUAUUUUGAAAAAGUAAUUGCAUUGCAUUCAUGUUAUGUUAUUCUUAUAUUCUCUUAUUCUCUUCAAUUUUUCCUUUUAAGGUUCGCAACCUGGUAUCCAGGAAGGAGCUGCUGACUGGGAUGAAGAUUGGGAUAAGCUUGAAGAUAAAGGUUCACCUAAGAGUGAUAAUGAGUCAAAAAACCCCAGACCACAGAUGAACAAGAAGUUGACAGUGUACAAAGGAUGAGAAGAAUAUGUACUAUAUUAGAGAAUAUUUUUGUUUUCACAGUAUAAUAUUUUGAUGUCUUUUGUAAUUUUUUUAAUAGCUUCUACCUGGUAUUAUAUGUAAUGGAUAAAUUAUACCAUAUUUUGAUAUGUCUUGUUUGGACUAAAAAUAUAUAUAGUUUAUAAUGUAAAUUUUAUGAUUUAGAUUUA